AUUGAACGCUGGCGGCAGGCCUAACACAUGCAAGUCGAGCGAGCGUCGGACGGGUGAGUAAUGUAUGGGGACUGCCCGACAGAGGGGGAUAACUACUGGAAACUGUAGCUAAUACCCCAUACUAUCGGAUAACCCAUAUGGGAUUAGCUAGUAGGUGGGGUAAUGGCUCACGUAGGCGACGAUCCCUAGCUGGGCUGAGAGGAUGAUAAGCCAGACUGGGACUGAGACACGGCCCGUACUCCUACGGAGGCAGCAGUGGGAAAUAUUGCACAAUGGGCGCAAGCCUGAUGCAGCCAUGCCGGGUGUAUGAAGAAGGCCCUAGGGUUGUAAAGUACUUUCAGUCGGGAGGCGUUACCGACAGAAGAAGCACCGGCUAACUCCGUGCCAGCAGCCGCGGUAAUAC
rnacentral:rRNA from 1 species